UUUGAUCGCAGUCAGGCAGUCGUAUGUAGCGAUCCGAAGUGAACGGUUGUGGUGCCUCUGAAGAUAUAAUAACUUUAUAAUAAUUUUCUAUAUCGUGACUCUCUCUAACGAGUAGAACAUGAAAAGCAACAAGUUAGACAAUACAUUUUAGACUUCGAAGAUUUCGCUACAUACAAAUUUUUUCACCUUUCGAUACAAAACGCUCUACGACUUUGAGUUUCUGUUAAUAAUCAGUGUGCUGUUCGUAUCAUUUACGUGCGGGACGAUCACAGAUCAAUCACGUGUAGUGAAGUGAGUUUGCAGCUUUCUCGCAAGCAAAUAUUGUAAAACUAUUUUGAAGAAAUAAAAAUUCCGAAGAGAUUCAGAGCUACUGUAGAUUUUUCGAAUAAAAAAUACGAAUCGAACAAAGUGCGAUAAAAACUCGGAAAGGUUGAAAGAGAGUAACACAUAAUAAAUAUGUAUUUUUCGUGAUCACUUGAAACUUAUCAACAAGAAAGUAAAGGACGACAAAGGAUACGAUAGAAAAUAAUUGUAGGAUAAGAAUAAGAAAGACACCGAUCAUUAAAUGAACUAUGAUUAUGAUACGUGAUAACUAAAUUUUUUCAUAAAUACCUACAAGAUUUCAGUUUAACACUGAGGAUGACGUUACUGGAGAAUAUAAUUAAAAUUCAAUUUUAUUAUUCGUCAUUUGUUGUGUGUCAUAUCUGUAGCACUUCUGCAUUCUACGGUAGUAGAAUUCAACCGCAGUUCAUAAGUUGCAAAAUUACACAACUAAUUGUCAAUUAAAAAGUUAUUUAUUAAGCGUGAAAAACAUGCAGCGUGACAAUCGACAUUAUCAGCACCUGUUGCUUUUCUUCUCUGAUCAAAAGAAACCAGUGAAGCUUACUUAACUCUUGCGACUAAAUGUCCGCAGUUUUUACCAAAGUCAUCCUGUAUGCGCAAAGUCCUUUCGUCAAUUCAAAAUUGGCAAUUUUGACUUAGAUCUCGUACGCGUAAAUGGGAAAAAGAAGUUUAAGAAUGAAGACUUGCAGAAACUUUUAGAUGAAAAUCCAAAAAAACGUAUUGCAAAAGAAACUGGCUAGAAAAUUGAAAAUUGUUGCGCGACGCACUAUUUCGCAACAUUUACAAACUAUGAAAAAACUUCAAAAUUUAAAAAAACGCAUGGACUUGACUAGUCAAAUUCGUUGCAACACUUGCAUUUCACUGCUUUCAAAACACAAUAAGCAAAAGCACUUUCUGGAUCACGUUGUGACUGGUUGUGAAAUGUCGAUAUCUUACGAUACUUCUAAUCAAACAAAAGCAAAUACAAACAAGGAAAACAAAAUUAAGCUCUGUAUUUGGUGGGAUAAUAAAGAUGUUAUAUAUUACGAAGUGCUACGAUCACAUGAAGUUGUUAUCGGCCGCUAUUCACAACAAUUAAAUAAAUUAAAAGAAGGAUUGACCAGUAAACGACCGCAAAUAGCGAACGACAGACGUAAGACCAUUAAAGACGAACAGUUUCAAAAUUUCGAGGAAGUCAAAAAAUGGAUCGAUGAACGAAUUCAUUCAAUAAACGACCUUUCAUCGAUGUCUGAUUAUUAUGGAAUUUGCUUAUUACCACAAAUAUGGAAAAAGUGUGUAGCAAGUGAAGGAAAACAAGUAAAGGAAAACGAGUGAAAUUCAAGGAAUCACCGCAAGUUUUGUCUCUUAUCUCACCGAAUCGAAUCUUAACUCAGUCUUCUAUUAACUCAGUCCAAUUCGUCAUAUUGCUUGAUAGUGAUGAUGUGUUAGCUUGUCUUAGGGAAGACAAGCAACGUCAUGGCAAUCGUCACACCCGCUCUGGAUCCGUCUUCCAAAAAUGCGCUUUUGGACGCGUAUGUUCGCAAAUGAAAAUCGUAUAGAACCGUAUUCCAAUAAUAUUUUUUCUAAAAAGAAUUUUGUAUUCUAUACUACUGUCAGUGUGAUAUUUAUCAAUUCUUUACUAUCUUAACAGGACAAACGGUUUUUGUUAUAGAUAUUUGUAUAUGUAUACUUUUAUGUAUAACGCUUUGUUCGUUAAAAAAUCUUGGGUUUUACCAUUACACAACUUAUUACAGUUAGAUCAAACAUUCUUCAUACAGUGCACUAGUUAACAUAGAUUUAAAUGUACGUAACAUAGAUUUAAAUGUAACUUAUGUCCUUGUGUCCACUUUGCGCAUACGAAAUGACUUGGUAAAAACUGCGGAUACAUAAGUUAAGAGUUAAGUAAGCUUAAUUGAUUGGUUUUGAUCAAAGUAGAAGAGUAACAGGUGUUAAUGAUGCUGAUUAUCACGCUGCAUGUUUUUCACGCUUAAUAAAUAACUUUUUAAUUGAU